GAUGAACGCUGGCGGUAUGCUUAAUACAUGCAAGUCGAGCGGUAAGGUUCUGCACUUUUUAUUUAAUCGUUUUGGUCGCAUAGGAGUAAUCUUAUGCAUCACCACCAAUGACAGAGACAGUGGCUACAUUGUUAUCUCGGAGGCGCGUGAGUUGAUCAACAAGACUCCACAAGCUAGGCUAGCGAAGGAUGAGAUUGAAUACGGAGGUAGAAUACACGAGCGGCGGACGGGUGAGUAACGCGUAAGAAUGUACCCCAAAGUNAGGGAUAAGCACCAGAAAUGGUGUCUAAUACCGCAUGU
rnacentral:rRNA from 1 species